rnacentral:sRNA from 1 species
ACGAUCCUACAAUGGAUUCCAGGUUUGCACAGACGAAUGACGAGGAAGAAAUUUGUGGGGUCGGUAAAGUUCAAAGAAGGCGAAGCGGAGUAAUAAUGAAGUCAUGCAACAUAUUGAUGUCGACAUGCGACUAAGUCCCUAUAAGAAGUGCCAAAAUCCAGUCCAAGAAGACACAGCCAUUUCAUUACUCUGGGAUUGGCUGUGUAUGUCAUCUGAUCACACCUUUAGUUUGGGAAGGAACUGAAUAACUCUACAAUCAGUAUCUGGUUCGCUAAUCCAUUGUAUUCAUCGCUUGUCUGCUGCUGUUAUGUUGAUGCUACGAUUAAAAAAAAGUUUUCCUUU